UGAGGAAUAUUGGUCAAUGGGCGCAGGCCUGAACCAGCCAAGUAGCGUGAAGGAUGACUGCCCUAUGGGUUGUAAACUUCUUUUAUAAAGGAAUAAAGUCGGGUAUGUAUACCCGUUUGCAUGUACUUUAUGAAUAAGGAUCGGCUAACUCCGUGCCAGCAGCCGCGGUAAUACGGAGGAUCCGAGCGUUAUCCGGAUUUAUUGGGUUUAAAGGGAGCGUAGAUGGAUGUUUAAGUCAGUUGUGAAAGUUUGCGGCUCAACCGUAAAAUUGCAGUUGAUACUGGAUAUCUUGAGUGCAGUUGAGGCAGGCGGAAUUCGUGGUGUAGCGGUGAAAUGCUUAGAUAUCACGAAGAACCCCGAUUGCGAAGGCAGCCUGCUAAACCGCCACUGACGUUGAGGCUCGAAAGUGUGGGUAUCAAACAGGAUUAGAUACCCUGGUAGUCCACACGGUAAACGAUGGAUACUCGCUGUUGGCGAUAGACUGUCAGCGGCUUAGCGAAAGCGUUAAGUAUCCCACCUGGGGAGUACGCCGGCAACGGUGAAACUCAAAGGAAUUGACGGGGGCCCGCACAAGCGGAGGAACAUGUGGUUUAAUUCGAUGAUACGCGAGGAACCUUACCCGGGCUUGAAUUGCAGACGAAUUGCUUGGAAACAGGCAAGCCGCAAGGCGUCUGUGAAGGUGCUGCAUGGUUGUCGUCAGCUCGUGCCGUGAGGUGUCGGCUUAAGUGCCAUAACGAGCGCAACCCUCGUGUCCAGUUACUAGCAGGUUAUGCUGAGGACUCUGGACAGACUGCCAUCGUAAGAUGUGAGGAAGGUGGGGAUGACGUCAAAUCAGCACGGCCCUUACGUCCGGGGCUACACACGUGUUACAAUGGGGGGUACAGCAGGCAGCUACCGGGCGACCGGAUGCCAAUCCCGAAAGCCUCUCUCAGUUCGGACUGGAGUCUGCAACCCGACUCCACGAAGCUGGAUUCGCUAGUAAUCGCGCAUCAGCCACGGCGCGGUGAAUACGUUCCC
rnacentral:rRNA from 1 species